UCGGAGUUUGCACGUUAAAACAGUGCCAAAAGUCGUUGACCAAUCAAAAUGUGUUUUCGGCUUCGACCAACGAGCUCCAACUUCCCCUGCAUUUUCAUUGGUCGGAGAGAGUGAACCGUUGUGAAGACAAAUGGACAAUCAACGACCUCAGGUUUCUGAAUCAUUUGCAGUGCUCGAGAAAAAGCCACAUACAAUGACAGCGUUCCCCUCCCCCCACCAGAAUCCAGCAAGGAAGCAAGUAGUGUUAGAACACCAAGCAGUAAGGCUAAUACAGACUUUGCCACCUAUGGUUAAGACAGCUGGUUCGCCCUCUCUUUGUCCAAGAACAUUCUUUCAAUGGCUCACAGGACAGGAACACAUCAGACCAGUUCGUCUGUGGAUAUUUGUGCCCAUUCAAUAAAUAAGUAAAACAAA